GCAUAUCAAUAAGCGGAGGAAAAGAAACCAACAGGGAUUACCUCAGUAACGGCGAGUGAAGCGGUAACAGCUCAAAUUUGAAAUCUGGCCUCACGGCCCGAGUUGUAAUUUGUAGAGGAUGCUUCGAGCAUGGUCCGGCCUAAGUUCCUUGGAACAGGACGUCAUAGAGGGUGAGAAUCCCGUAUGCGGCCGGGUGCCUACGCUUAUGUGAAGCUCCUUCGACGAGUCGAGUUGUUUGGGAAUGCAGCUCAAAAUGGGUGGUAAAUUUCAUCUAAAGCUAAAUAUUGGCCAGAGACCGAUAGCGCACAAGUAGAGUGAUCGAAAGAUGAAAAGCACUUUGGAAAGAGAGUUAAACAGUACGUGAAAUUGUUGAAAGGGAAGCGCUUGCGACCAGACUUGCGUGCGGCCGAUCAUCCGGUGUUCUCACCGGUGCACUCGGCCGCGCUCAGGCCAGCAUCGGUUUCGGCGGCUGGAUAAAGGCCCUAGGAAUGUGGCUCCUCUCGGGGAGUGUUAUAGCCUAGGGUGCAAUGCAGCCCGCUGGGACCGAGGACCGCGCUUCGGCUAGGAUGCUGGCGUAAUGGUCGUAAGCGGCCCGUCUUGAAACACGGACC
rnacentral:rRNA from 1 species